GACGAACGCUGGCGGCGUGCUUAACACAUGCAAGUCGAGCGGAGCGGGGAAAGGGUGAGUAACGCGUGAGUAACUGCCCCCCUCUCUGGGAUAAAAGUUGGAAACGGCUGCUAAUACCGGAUAGUGGGGGAUGACUCGCGUCCUAUCAGCUUGUUGGUGGGGUAGUGGCCUCCCAAGGCGACGUCGGUUAGCCGGCCUGUGAGGGCGACCGGCCACAUGGGGCUGGGAUACGGCCCAAACUCCUACUGGGGGCAGCAGUGGGGGAUAUUGGGCAAUGGGGGAAACGCUGAUGCAGCAACGCCGCGUGCGGGAUGACGGCCUUCGGGUUGUAAAGCUCUGUUAAGUGGGACGGCGAAUAGUGCGAGGAUUUGACGGUACCGGAAUAGAAAGCCACGGCUAACUACGUGCCAGCAGCCGCGGUAAUAC
rnacentral:rRNA from 1 species